rnacentral:lncRNA from 1 species
GGUGGACCUUGCAGUGCCAUGAUGGGUCAACAGGGUAGAGUGGCGUAUGGGGAAAUAAAAAGAUGUCAUGGUGCUGUUCCUCGAGAAAAACAGCGCUGGAUCUUCAACGCCACGAAAAUCUAUACAUCGCACAACAACAGUGCGCUCAAAACACAAACUCUAAUGUGCAGCUCCAACUGUGUAAUUCAGCGUGUUUUGCUCGUGCAGAGCCCGAUUCAUGGCUUUACAAAGAUCUUGGCGUAGCUGAGAAUGGUCUGAGGUGAUUUGUGUGGGACACAGGCAUCACGACUGGGCAUCCCUGCGGAGAAUCGCUCCAGCGCUUUCAUCUGGAUGUGAGGACUGGUCUAGUUAUCCGUCUCUCACCUCCUCUGCAUUUUUCCUUUUUUUUUUUGGAUUGU